rnacentral:rRNA from 1 species
GUGGGGAAUCUUGCGCAAUGGGCGAAAGCCUGACGCAGCCAUGCCGCGUGAAUGAUGAAGGUCUUAGGAUUGUAAAAUUCUUUCACCGGGGACGAUAAUGACGGUACCCGGAGAAGAAGCUCCGGCUAACUUCGUGCCAGCAGCCGCGGUAAUACGAAGGGGGCUAGCGUUGCUCGGAAUUACUGGGCGUAAAGGGCGCGUAGGCGGACAGCUUAGUCAGAGGUGAAAGCCCAGGGCUCAACCUUGGAAUUGCCUUUGAUACUGGCUGUCUUGAGUUUGGGAGAGGUGAGUGGAACGCCGAGUGUAGAGGUGAAAUUCGUAGAUAUUCGGAAGAACACCAGUGGCGAAGGCGACUCACUGGCCCAAUACUGACGCUGAGGCGCGAAAGCGUGGGGAGCAAACAGGAUUAGAAACCCCAGUAGUCC